UAGGGAAUCUUCGGCAAUGGACGAAAGUCUGACCGAGCAACGCCGCGUGAGUGAAGAAGGUUUUCGGAUCGUAAAACUCUGUUGUUAGAGAAGAACAAGGACGUUAGUAACUGAACGUCCCCUGACGGUAUCUAACCAGAAAGCCACGGCUAACUACGUGCCAGCAGCCGCGGUAAUACGUAGGUGGCAAGCGUUGUCCGGAUCUAUUAGGCGUAAAGCGAGCGCAGGCGGUUUCUUAAGUCUGAUGUGAAAGCCCCCGGCUCAACCGGGGAGGGUCAUUGGAAACUGGGAGACUUGAGUGCAGAAGAGGAGAGUGGAAUUCCAUGUGUAGCGGUGAAAUGCGUAGAUAUAUGGAGGAACACCAGUGGCGAAGGCGGCUCUCUGGUCUGUAACUGACGCUGAGGCUCGAAAGCGUGGGGAGCAAACAGG
rnacentral:rRNA from 1 species